rnacentral:rRNA from 1 species
GACGAACGCUGGCGGCGUGCUUAACACAUGCAAGUCGAACGGAAAGGCCCUGCUUUUGUGGGGUUCUCGAGUGGCGAACGGGUGAGUAACACGUGAGUAACCUGCCCUUGACUUUGUGAUAACUUCAGGAAACUGGGGCUAAUACCGGAUAGGAGCUCCUGCUGCAUGGUGGGGGUUGGAAAGUUUCGGCGGUUGGGGAUGUACUCGCGGCUUAUCAGCUUGUUGGUGGGGUAGUGGCUUACCAAGGCUUUGACGGGUAGCCCGCAUGGGAGGGUGACCGGGAACAAGGGGCCUACGAGAGGCACCAGUAGCGAAGGGGGGGCAACGGGGGGAAGUCUUGCAGAGUGGCGGGGCGCCAGAGACGAAGGCGCCGGGAGCGGAAAAACCGCUUUGGGGUUAAAAACAAUUUUGGAAGGAACCAAGCGGGGAGUGACGGUACCGGAUAAGAAAGCCCCGGCUAACUACGUG